CGUUUUGAUUAAUGUCAACUCGAAGACGUCCUCUGAGAUCCGAAAACUUCAGCCACAACGUUGCGGAAAGUUGCAGAUAGAGUUGAUGGCAUCCAGUAUUUCGUGGAACACCAUGAAGAGCACCUGUAUAUUCUUACCAAUUUUUUGGGCGACAAGAAGCUAGCGUCGCUAGGAAACAACUAUCGGCUUGUCCGCUGCAAGACAGAUAGCUUGACCUCGAAGGCGUGGGAGUCGAGAGCGAAAAUUGGAUAGAGGAUAUGGAUAUUUUUGCGAAGCAUUUGAUCUUAUACAGACGACAAAAUGGUCUUCCCAUUGUGCAUGUUUUCAACCUGGAUAGCCUGAAAACUCCUCCUUGGACUGUAAACCUUCCCUCCGGG